UUAAGAAUCUUGCACAAUGGGCGCAAGCCUGAUGCAGCGACGCCGCGUGGAUGAUGAAGGCCUUCGGGUUGUAAAGUCCGGUAAGCAGGGAAGAAUAAGUGGGGGGUAAUAUUCCUCAUGAUGACGGUACCUGCCUAAAGCCCCGGCUAACUACGUGCCAGCAGCCGCGGUAAUACGUAUGGGGCGAGCGUUGUUCGGAAUUAUUGGGCGUAAAGGGCGUCUAGGCGGGGAUUUAAGUUAGGUGUGAAAGCUAUGGGCUCAACCCAUAAACUGCACCUAAAACUGGAUCUCUUGAGUUCGGGAGAGGAGAGCGGAAUUCCAGGUGUAGCGGUGAAAUGCGUAGAUAUCUGGAAGAACACCAGUGGCGAAGGCGGCUCUCUGGCCUAGGACUGACGCUGAAGCGCGAAAGCGUGGGGAGCGAACA
rnacentral:rRNA from 1 species